AUGACGAGCGGCGGACGGGUGAGUAAUGCCUGGGAAUAUGCCUUGAUGUGGGGGAUAACCAUUGGAAACGAUGGCUAAUACCGCAUAAUGCCUACGGGCCAAAGAGGGGGAUCUUCGGACCUCUCGCGUCAAGAUUAGCCCAGGUGGGAUUAGCUAGUUGGUGAGGUAAUGGCUCACCAAGGCGACGAUCCCUAGCUGGUCUGAGAGGAUGAUCAGCCACACUGGAACUGAGACACGGUCCAGACUCCUACGGGAGGCAGCAGUGGGGAAUAUUGCACAAUGGGCGCAAGCCUGAUGCAGCCAUGCCGCGUGUGUGAAGAAGGCCUUCGGGUUGUAAAGCACUUUCAGUCGUGAGGAAGGUAGUUGCGUUAAUAGCGUAAUUAUUUGACGUUAGCGACAGAAGAAGCACCGGCUAACUCCGUGCCAGCAGCCGCGGUAAUACGGAGGGUGCGAGCGUUAAUCGGAAUUACUGGGCGUAAAGCGCAUGCAGGUGGUUUGUUAAGUCAGAUGUGAAAGCCCGGGGCUCAACCUCGGAAUUGCAUUUGAAACUGGCAGACUAGAGUACUGUAGAGGGGGGUAGAAUUUCAGGUGUAGCGGUGAAAUGCGUAGAGAUCUGAAGGAAUACCGGUGGCGAAGGCGGCCCCCUGGACAGAUACUGACACUCAGAUGCGAAAGCGUGGGGAGCAAACAGGAUUAGAUACCCUGGUAGUCCACGCCGUAAACGAUGUCUACUUGGAGGUUGUGGCCUUGAGCCGUGGCUUUCGGAGCUAACGCGUUAAGUAGACCGCCUGGGGAGUACGGUCGCAAGAUUAAAACUCAAAUGAAUUGACGGGGGCCCGCACAAGCGGUGGAGCAUGUGGUUUAAUUCGAUGCAACGCGAAGAACCUUACCUACUCUUGACAUCCAGAGAAGCCAGCGGAGACGCAGGUGUGCCUUCGGGAACUCUGAGACAGGUGCUGCAUGGCUGUCGUCAGCUCGUGUUGUGAAAUGUUGGGUUAAGUCCCGCAACGAGCGCAACCCUUAUCCUUGUUUGCCAGCGAGUAAUGUCGGGAACUCCAGGGAGACUGCCGGUGAUAAACCGGAGGAAGGUGGGGACGACGUCAAGUCAUCAUGGCCCUUACGAGUAGGGCUACACACGUGCUACAAUGGCGCAUACAGAGGGCUGCCAACCAGCGAUGGUGAGCGAAUCCCAAAAAGUGCGUCGUAGUCCGGAUUGGAGUCUGCAACUCGACUCCAUGAAGUCGGAAUCGCUAGUAAUCGUGGAUCAGAAUGCCACGGUGAAUACGUUCCCGGGCCUUGUACACACCGCCCGUCACACCAUGGGAGUGGGCUGCAAAAGAAGUGGGUAGUUUAACCUUUCGAGGAG
rnacentral:rRNA from 1 species